GCAUUACAUUCACUUCCUCCUUAAAUCAGACUCACUGAUGACAAAGUCCUCGUCACAUCUCAACAUUUCAUUCAUGAACCACUCGGUGAUUCAUGUCAAAUCUCUACAUGAUGAUUACAUUUCUCUUUUUCCAUUUCCUCACAGCAGGUAUUUCUCAGGGCAUCCAGGUCGACCAGUCACCCGCCGCUCUCAUCAGAAAGGCCGGUGAUGCCGUGCAGAUCGUCUGUAGCCACGGAGAGGCCGACUACAGAACGAUGCUGUGGUACCGGCAGUCGCCCGGCGACUCGGCCCUUGAACUCAUUGGAUAUGUGUCUUAUGGCCGAAUAAGCUACGAAGAACCGCCGUACGAGGAGCAUUUCAAUAUCACCGAUUUGAGUGGAAAUACAGCAAAGAGCGGCUCUCUGUUUAUAGUGGGCCUGAGCAAGUCGGAGCACAGUGCGGUGUAUUACUGCACGGCUCGAUAUGCACACUGACGUGCAUCUCCUUUGGACAGCACAAAAUCUGAACGGCAUCUUUUUUAUCAACUGUGGUUUUUGAGUAGAGUCUUGGGAAACGCCUCCAGCAGUCAGGGGCAAUGAUCGUGUGAUUACUACAUCAUUUCCUCAUGUCUCCUCUUUUUUGUUUUUAUAUUCAGUCCAGAGGAAGAAGCUGCCAAAGUUCAAAAGAGACAACAACCUGGAAGAAAACAUCUCAAAUUAGCUGGAGACAAAACAAUGAACGUUAUACUUUCCAUAAUCUCGCUUAAAAAACAUGACCACACAGCACAUACUUCUGUACUUCUAGUAAAGCAACAGGAUUUAAUUUUUCUGUAUUAGAUCAUCAAUAAAAGAGAAUUUAUUGAUAGUACAUUUCCUCACACGCCAAAUUCUUGAACAAUGUCAGUCGUGAUUCUCAAGCCACAAGUGCUGGGCCACGGAAGCUGUUUGCUGUUGAGCUGUGAGGAAACGGUAUCGUACAAAAACAAAACAAAAAUAAUUCAAAAAAAUUAUAAUCAUACAUUACAUGACUUAAUAGGCUAUUAAAAGCUAUUUUCUGUGGCCGUUACCAUGAACUUACUGUCUUCUAAGUUAAAAACUUCACCACUGCCUGAGUGUUACAGAGGUCAAUCCAUGUGCUGUAUGUAUUUAAUUCAUAUAGUAAUGAUGUACAAAGAACAGACAAAGUGUGGUUGUGUUUUUGCAAUGAGGGAAUUGCCUAGUGCAAUUAAUUAUUGUAACUUAUCUGAAAUUUUUCUAAAUGAAAAAGUUUCUUUGUCAA